rnacentral:lncRNA from 1 species
GCUGCAGCAAGAGGAGGGUGGCAGGGAGAGGAGGAGGAGGAAGGGAAGAAGUGAGCAAGUGCUUCAGUGACCUGUGCUAACACCCAGAGCCUCAGGGACUCUCUGAGACCCCUCCACAUCUGUCCGGCUGUGGCAGCUCACACACAUGGCUUUCAUGGUAGACUUUCCACCUCACAGGGGAAUGCAGCCAUUCCAGUAAUUGUGGCCUGCUGACUGCCUGACACUUCCCACAAUACUUCCCAUGUCAUGGCCUCCCUCCCUGUAUCAUUACUAAACAGGGGAGCCAGUUCAGACAGGUUUUGGAAAGAGCUCCUGGGCUUCUAAAGCUCACUUCUCUCCCUCAUGGCACUCCCAGUCCCACAGUGUCACAGCAACUCCCGCCGUGCUGGCUGGGCCACCACUCUCCCUCCACAGGGACUAAUCAUAAAAAACAGUGCUCACAAAUCUACCCAGCAGAGCCUGUUGGUGCAUCCAGGGUGCUGACACGACAACCAGGCAGGGUGUGGAGAGAGAACAGCUGCUCAGCUGAAAGGAGAACUGGGAAUGGAGGACCAGGAACUGCUCUCAGCCUGUGCAAGGAUCCAGUGCGGUAUGCUGGAAGUAAACAAAUCCAAGGAGAAGGAAGUGAAAAACGGAAGCAAGGGGGAGGAGAGAAAUCACAGUGCUUGACCACUUCAGCAGCUGCAAACAAGAGAAGCAAUUGUCAUGUACCCUGGGGUGGAGGUGUCCUGAGAGUGCAGAAGCAAACCUGCCCCACCAGCACUAUGUCUGAGAGAGCUCCUGCACUGCACAGCCCUUGAGAAGAUACCCAGAAAUCAUCCAGAGGUUAGGAAAAAUCCUAUAGGCAGAGGAAGCUGGAAGGUGGCUUGAUAACCUCCCGUGGAGAAGCUGUUUAACCACUGGGGUGGUUUCAUCCUUGUAAGUAAGAGCAAAAUGUGGUCCAGGAAUUAUGAACUGAGCUUAGAUAAAAUUAAUCUUACAGAAAGAGAACAGGAUGAUUAAACACUUUACCCAGGAAAGUAACAGAGGCUGUUCAUGUGCUUUUAUAUGAGUUAUCUAUCUCCAUCCCACCUGGGGGUACAGCAGAGAAAACUCAGAGUGCAUGUGCCUGCGUGUGCAUGCAUGUUUGAAAUCAGGAGCACACCCCACACAUCCACUGGGGGGCUCCUAUACUGAAAAGGAAACUUACUGUUGUGCUCUUGAUGCUUAUAAAUUAUGCAGCUCUGCAACGGGACAAUGAUUAUAAUCAAAUCUCAUGCUUCAAGGCUUCAAGGUCAGGAAAAAAAUAACACCCUUCACACCACUAACAGCACAUGCUCCAAAUCCCUCUAGUACCCCAUGGGCAACACUUUUCAUUUUCCACAUGCUCAGACAUUCUGGGGAUCUUGGGAACUUCCUACCUGCCUAUGCCUGUGCUCAUAUGAGCCUACCCCCAGUGGUGAUAAGUUUUGGAAAACUGGUAACAUUCAUCUAGUCUAAAAGGCAUUAGUUUGAUAUUUGGAGUCUUGGGAUCUGCA